rnacentral:tRNA from 1 species
GGAUGGGUGGCCGAGCGGUUGAAGGCACCGGUCUUGAAAACCGGCAGAGGUUCGCGCCUCUCGUGGGUUCGAAUCCCACCCCAUCCGCCA